AUUGAACGCUUGCGGCAUGCCUAACACAUGCAAGUCGAGCGAUCGGCGGACGGGUGAGUAAUUUAUGGGGACUUCCCUAUAGAGAGGGAUAACUACUGGACACGGUAGCUAAUACCGCAUACUAUUGGAGAACCCAUAUGUGAUUAGCUAGUAGGGGAGGUAAUGGCUCACCUAGGCGACGAUCCCUAGCUGGUCUGAGAGGAUGAUCAGCCACACUGGGACUGAGACACGGCCCAGACUCCUACGGAGGCAGCAGUGGGGAAUAUUGCACAAUGGGCGCAAGCCUGAUGCAGCCAUGCCGCGUGUAUGAAGAAGGCCCUAGGGUUGUAAAGUACUUUCAGUCGGGAGGCGUUACCGACAGAAGAAGCACCGGCUAACUCCGUGCCAGCCGCCGCGGUAAUAC
rnacentral:rRNA from 1 species